CACCUCGGAAGAGAGAGAGGAAGAGGAGAUGGGUUGACAAAAAGGGCAGGUGUUGGUCUGACCCCUUUCCAGAGAAGCUGUCCUCCUAACACAAACAGUAUCUGCUGCCCCUUGGCCCUGCCUGGAAGUCCCCCAGCCCCUCACUCACACUCUCUGGCCCUCUUCUUACCAGGGCCCUUCCCAGUUACCCAGCCCAAGUUGGGAGGCAGAAGAUCCAUGUCACAGAUGGCCUGCGGCCUCAGGACCACCCAGCAGGCUGGAGCCCCUAUUUGGCAAGUGACCCCAGGAACUGGGACCUGCAGGUGUGGGCGACUCAGGCCACCUUCCCAGGCGUGCUGAGCAAGUGAGUGCAGCGAGAGAACAUUUGCUGCGUUUCCUAGGAGCUGGGCCCUUCAGACAUUCUCCAUAGCCCUCACUACAAAAGCCUGUCCCACAGGCGGUGGAGGCUCAAGGUGAUACCUAUUCAUGAUCCCUCACCUCUGCACAGUGCUUUACAGUUUAUAAUGUUUCUUCAUCCACAGAGUACCUGAUUUUCAUAACAACCCUGUGAGGCUCUCUGUCCCGCUGAUGGUGGACCACGGCCCCUGCACCAUUGGCCAUGGGGGAGCCAUCACCCCGCCAGGACCUCACCUCCUGCAGAAGGCACAGAAAGAGUUAGGAGCAUGAGCAGCUCAGGCGGGAAUCCGGGGACCUGUGCACCGGAGGCUGGAGUCGAGAGAGUGCAGGGUGGGAGGCAGCUGAGAGGUUAGGAGCAGCAGGGCCACCGGGUACAGCGGGAGGAGCCUGUUAGUGCCCUGAAGCACCUCCACCAGCAGCAGCAGCAGCACCGGCAGCCCAGCGGGCUCGGCCCACUACCUUCUCAUGCUCCUGCCGGCUCAGGCGCAGAGCCAGCUGCAGCUGCAGGUCCUCGUCCCUGUGGGAGGCUGGGGGGACAGGCUGCGGAGGAAGAGAGGGGUAAACUUGGCCCUGUACCCCCACCUUGGGACCAGAAGGGCAGUAUAGGCCUGCCUGGGUCAUGGGGAUGGAGACACUAAUGCCCACCCUCAGUGUGCAUGGGCCAUUUGCCCCUCGGUCAGCAGGGUGGGCGUGGCCUUCUCCCUGCCUGCAUCUGAAAUGCAGUUUAAAGAUCAGGAAGACUGAUCUUUCGCUUCUGAAUCCUCUGAGAGUUCCUCAGGCCCUCCUGUGUGAGACCCAGCUGCCUCCUGCCUGGUCUUCCUGGAUCCACAGAGGGCCAGCUGCAGCUGCAGUUCCUCUUCCCCUGACGUCUGAGGCCGGGCCUGCUCCAGGUCGGAGGUAUAGCGGGGUGACGAAGAGGAGGCUGCAAUGACCAUCAUGUCUCUGUGACCACACGAUUACCCAUCGGCUCCCACACCCCUCUGCCUGCCAGGAAGCUGAGGCUCAAAGAAGAGAACUGAGAGGAGGGGAACAACGGCCGUUGAGGCCCCCGUGGGCCAAGCAGUGUGCCAGGCACUCUGUAAGUUCCCCAUCCCAACCCAUCCCGGAUGGAAGGACGGCUCCAGUCCCUCCUUAGCAGAUGCACAGGCGGCACUUAGGGCCCCUGACCAGGUUCCUGAAGCAGGGCUUGAACCCAGGUGCCCUGACUCCAGCUCUUGGACUUCCAGAUGGACUCCGUCCUGCUUGGGGGCAAGGGAAGUGCAAGGAUAGGAGGUUCUAGUCCAACGAGGUCACAACCUCAAAGCCCUCAGCAAACUGUCAAGGGCUUUAUGGAAGGCGGGCCAUUCUGAGUAUUCCUCAGAUCCUGGAAGCCCCCAUGACUGGGGGCAGGAGAGUCAGGGACUGUCUAGCCGCUGCCCUCAGGUAGGGGGAUGAAGGGGAACACCAUGUGUCUGGGUGCAGGGUAGAGGACGUUCCUGAACCUGGUCUCAUUUCAUUCUCAGAUCAAACAAUGGAGGUAGGUGAGCUUAUCCCCACUGUACAGAUGAGGAAACUGAGGUUCAGAGAACUGGCUGCCCAGGUCACACAGCUUGGAGGAAGCAGAAUAUAGAAUGCUAUCUGACUCCAAACCCAUGCUUCCACUAUCGCGCCAUCCUAUCAGGCAGCUAACGAAUGAUAAUGAAUCUAUAACAACAUUAUUAUCUGAGCUAACUUGUUGAGCACCUCCUAUGUGCCGGGUGUUGUGCCUUGCGUGUUACAUUCCUUAUGUCUGAAUCUUCAUAACACCCCUCGGAGGUAGGUAUUAUGAACCAUGGCUUGGAUUGCAGAGCCAGGAAUGGAAGUCGGGCCAUCUCCCCAUCCCAGCCACACACCGGGGCUUACUCACAGUUGUAGGAGGACGGGGAGCCCCGGGAGCGGCUGUAGUCCUCGCCGUAGCGGCGGCUGAAGCCCAGCUGCCCACUGCCAAUGCCGAUGCCCUCCAGUGCCAUGCGCUCCUUGGUCUUGAGAGCAUGGGUUCGCUCCUGCCGCAGCCGCUCCUCAUCCUUGAGCAGGGCCAUCACCUGCUUGACCUUCUCGCGCACGUUGACGCCCUGGUCCUUGCCGUCGCGGUCGAUGUACUGGAAGUCCUUGAGUGUCUGGAUGGUGUAGAGGUUCUCGCGGCACUGGUGGGCCACCCGCUCGGAGCCCGUCUUGAGCAGGUAGUCCAGCAAUGUUAGAGCCUUGUACACGUGCCGCCAGUUCUUGCCGCUGUCAUUGAGCCGCCGCCACAGCAUGCCCAUGACCUCGGUGAAGGCCACUGUGUUGAAGGUCAGGUCAGCGAUCUCGGACAUGAGCGAACUAGGGGGGCCCCAGGGGUCAUUGCUGGUGGCCUCGCGCACCUUGAUUUCUGCCUCGGAGUAGUUGUGCACGAUGUUCUUCACCUGGCGCCGGAGUGCGGAGGUCGUCAUGGCUGGAGACUUGGAGGUGGGUGGCCCUCGCCCCCGCCGGAGGUGGAGGGCUGAGGGCCACUGUGGCGAGGUCACGGUCUCGAAGGAUGGGCUGCCGUGUUAGCAGAGCAGCUGCGUCCUUGGGUUCCACAUGGGGCUGAGGAAGAGAGGGCCAGGAACUCAGGGGCAGAGGCCUACCUCAUGGGUCACUCAGCCACUGACCAACUAAAUGAGGCCUGGCCAGAGUGUCCCUGCCUCCAGGGACAGCCUUCAGCGGCACAUGUUCUUAUUUCACUUACAAUUCAGCAGGCACUUGGAGCUUUGCAUGCUCAUCUAUCUAUCUUCACAGUCACACCACAAAGAUGCUAUUAUCAUUAUCUCCAUCCACAGAUGGGAAAGGUGGGGCUCAGAGUAUUAAAUGGGCCCGGUGCAGUGGCUCACGCCUAUAAUUCCAGGACUUCAGGAGGCCAAGGCAAGAGGAUCACUUGAGGCCAGUAGUUGGAGGCUGCAGUGAGCCAUGAUCAUGCCAUUGGGCAACAGAGCGAGACCCUGUAAUAUUAAGUGACUUGUCCGAGAUCACAGAGCUGCUACAUGGGGGAACCAAGAUGACCCCAGGAAGCCCCACCUAAGAGUGCAUGGCCUCAUGGGGGAACGCUAACAGGAUUCCAGGAAUGCCCGCUUGCCUUGCUUCUGCUCGGCCACUGCCUCUGUUUCUGCUGAGAUCUAGCUUAAGACCUAUCCUUCCUAGCUCCUCAGCUCACUUUUCUCAUAUUGUUAAUUUUUGUAGUUUGAUGCAUUCAACACCUAUUUCCUGGAGGCCUUUUCUGAGCCAGGCACCAUGCCAGGCACAGAACACACGCCUUGGUCCACCCACGUUCAGUUGAGAGGGUGCAGAAAAUCACAGUCCAGUGUGGGAGUGCAGAGCCACACAGGAAGACCCAAGCCAGGAAAAUCAGGGGAGACUUCCUAGAGGAGGUGGUGGCAGAGCUGAGAUCCAAGAUCCAAGGGAAGAGUGAGGAGGAGUGAACCAGCAAGUCAGGGGAGGGCAGCUCAGAAGAAAUGCUAUGACCUGGGCCAGAAGGCAAGAGAGCAAGUAUCGUUUGAGGAAGACUGCCUCUCAGAGUUCUGGCCACUGCCAACACUCCUGCGUGCCACCCCCAUGUACACAUGGAAGUGUUGAGGCCAGAGAGGGGAUGGGACCUGCCUGCAUCAUAUGGCAUGUAAGUGGCAGGGCCUGGACUACCAUCCAGGACUCCAGAAGACUAAUCCAAUCCUUAUUGUCAGUGUUACCUAGUUUGGUCAUUAUUUCAUCGGAUUGCUUUACUGUCUCAGUCCCACCUUCUCAGCUAGAAUGGAAGCUCCCUGAGAGUAGGAACAGUCUGGGUUCUCCAAAGCCCCAAAACGCUGGACACAUGGUGGACCUCUGGUACCCCAGCAGGGAGAAGAGCUGGGCCAGCCCAAUUCCCCCCAAUAGCAACAGGUCCAGGCUGUCUGCUGAAUACAACCGCAGGCCCAAGGUCCUCCCAAAGGCCCUUUCAGAAACCAAAAGAGGAAUUCCCUGACCACCACCAUUCCUCCCACGCUAGCACUGGUGUGUGCAUGCACACACACACUGUCUGGGCCUGCAGAGCCUCCACUUCACCCGUGAACUGUCCCCCACCCACCAAACACCUUUCGGCUCCACGCUCCAUCCCAGCCCGUGCCCCAACUGGUCCCCAGGCUGCCAGAAGCAGGAAUCUGAAGGAGACUGUCCUCCCGCACCCGAUUCCACGCUCCUUCCACCCCAGCCCCGCCAGUGCUGGGCUCAGUUCAAAGCAGCCCCACGCUUUGAAAACAUGCCUUGGCAGGUUUUGUCGGGGGCCCAGAGAAUAAGAUACCGUGGGAGUGGGCGAGGUGGAGAGUGCCUGGCCCACAGCACAGCCUA